rnacentral:rRNA from 1 species
GAUGAACGCUAGCGAUAGGCUUAACACAUGCAAGUCGAGGGGCAGCAUGGUCUUAGCUUGCUAAGACUGAUGGCGACCGGCGCACGGGUGCGUAACGCGUAUGCAACUUGCCUCACAGAGGGGGAUAACCCGUCGAAAGACGGACUACUACCGCGUACACUUGGGAUAGGGCAUCCUGACCCAAGGCAAUGAAAUUCGCUGUUAGAUAGGCAUGCGUCCCAUUAGCUAGUUGGUGAGGUAACGGCUCACCAAGGAGACGAUGGGUAGGGGAACUGAGAGGUUGAACCCCCACACUGGUACUGAGACACGGACCAGACUCCGACGGGAGGCAGCAGUGAGGAAUAGUGGUCAAUGGGCGAGAGCCUGAACCAGCCAAGUCGCGUGAAGGAUGACUGUCUUAUGGAUUGUAAACUUCUUUUAUACGGGAAUAACAAGAGUAACGUGUGGCUCCCUGCAUGUACCGUAUGAAUAAGCAUCGGCUAACUCCGUG